AUUGAACGCUGGCGGCAUGCCUUACACAUGCAAGUCGAACGGUAACGGGCCUUCGGGUGCCGACGAGUGGCGCACGGGUGCGUAAUACAUCGGAACGUGCCCGAUCGUGGGGGAUAACGAGGCGAAAGCUUUGCUAAUACCGCAUACGAUCUACGGAUGAAAGCAGGGGACCGCAAGGCCUUGCGCGGACGGAGCGGCCGAUGGCAGAUUAGGUAGUUGGUGGGAUAAAAGCUUACCAAGCCGACGAUCUGUAGCUGGUCUGAGAGGAUGAUCAGCCACACUGGGACUGAGACACGGCCCAGACUCCUACGGGAGGCAGCAGUGGGGAAUUUUGGACAAUGGGCGCAAGCCUGAUCCAGCCAUGCCGCGUGCAGGAUGAAGGCCUUCGGGUUGUAAACUGCUUUUGUACGGAACGAAAAGCCUUCUUUUAAUACAGGAGGGUCAUGACGGUACCGUAAGAAUAAGCACCGGCUAACUACGUG
rnacentral:rRNA from 1 species